AGACUCAGGUCAGGUCCUGGGUGGAAUCCCCAUAACGUGUGCAACGAUUGGAGGAAAACUGAGUCCGUCACGUGACGCUCACCGGGUGCGACACCGGUCACGUGGGACUGGUGUUUGUGCCUAGCGGGCGGCUGCUUGGGCGUCUCCUGGUGGCGUCAAGGCUGCGUCGCAGGGAGUGAACUGCGCGUGCUCGGCUGGGGGGUUUAGGGGCGGAUUUCGAGAAGUGGGCGCCAGGAUCCCCUCAAGUUGUGGACUUUCUUAGGGUUGGGGGCUCACGGAAGAAAGUUUAUAGGUAUUCAGCUAAACUGUCAAAUGGAUGAAGAAUGGGGAGCCAGAGAUGUGAACUGACAUUUGCUGCCAAGAGCGAUCAGUCUUGAGCAACUUGAACAAGUCAAGAUGAGUCCCCUGCUCUAGUGGGUCAGACAUGAGCAGCUGACAACCCAAAGCAUAAAGAGCCCCUUCAGACAGCAGUAAGUACUGUGACAAUGUGGAAAUAGUGUGAGGAGCUGGUCAGCUGGGGCCUCUCUAGAAGCUGUCACGCAAGAUUCCUGCCACAGAGAGUCAUACAGUGUCCCUCGCCGGCUGCUUCCAGAGGGAAUGUGUCCAUCUGUGUGGAUCAAACACAUGUGGGCUUCAGGAUGGUCUCAUCUGGAGACUCGAUGAAGUCACCAGCAAUGUGGAUUCUGUGUUCCCGGUCUGGCCUCCACAGGCACAGAAUUGUCACAGGAGGUGGGCUGUGAUCCGGCUCAUGGCCUUUGUGGAACGUUCCCCAUCAGUGUCAUGGAAGCAAUGACUGGUUCGCGGGAAAGAAUCCAAGGCAGGAAGGGGCCGGGAAGCUGAGCCCCACCGAGCUCAGAGGCGCUCUCAUUGAGGAAAAUGGGCUUGAGCUCUCCUUGAGAUCUCAGGAAAUCUAAAGGAAAACAAGUACAUGAGACAAAACUCAAGUGUUCAGAACGAUACGUUUCUGACCCAGAGAAGGCUUAAAAAAAAAAAAAUCCAUGAACACAAUUCAUUUUCAUUAGCUCUGGUUUUCAGAGAGGGCUUUUUUAAAAGUGCAUUUGCUGGGACAUCCAUUAAAAUAAUUUUCUUUAAAAGGUUGCCAUGAGCUGUACUUUUGGGAGUAGGAAAGGUGAAUGCUGGUGGGGAUGGGGCAAGGAACGAGGGCAGCAGGGGCCCGUCAUGGAAGCUGGUUUGCGGCCAUGGGAGAGGAGGUGCUAUAGCAUAAACCUUCUUCUACCAGCUAGGGGACUUACCGAAGUGCAUGAGGAAUGACUGCCAGUGUUGUU